rnacentral:rRNA from 1 species
UACGUAGGGAGCAAGCGUUGUUCGGAUUUACUGGGCGUAAAGGGCGCGUAGACGGCGUGUCAAGUCGAUUGUGAAAUCUCCGGGCUUAACUCGGAACGGCCAAUCGAUACUGACGUGCUAGAGUGCAGAAAGGGCAAUCGGAAUUCUUGGUGUAGCGGUGAAAUGCGCAGAUAUCAGGAGGAACGCCAGUGGCGAAGGCGGCUCACUGGCCCGGUACUGACGCUGAGGCGCGAAAGCGUGGGGAGCAAACAGG